UAUACUGUGAUCGGAAAUAAUUUUUGAUGUUUUUUAGAAGUCUUGAUAUAAAUGCUUAUACCAUUUCCCUCUCUUCUACUACUGUCAUCUGAAGGCAGCUGACCUUUCUCAGAUACAGAAAAUCUCACUUUUUAAUAAGUUCUUAUUGUUUUACUGCAUUCUUCACAUCAGUGUCACCAUGUGUUUUACUCGCAGUACUGGAUUUGCUCUUCUACUGAUAGGUAUCAUACACGGGGACAAAGUAUCACAGCCAGAACUGACUGGCCACAUCUAUGAAGGCAAUAACGUCCUACUUCCGUGUAAUUUCACAACAAUCAACAGAGAUAACCCUGUCUUAUUUUGGUACAGGCAGAAACCAAAUGGACCCAUUGAAUAUCUGGAGCUUCAAGUCAGUAGAUAUCAAAAUAGCACUAGAAGAGAAAGAUAUGCAGUCCAGUUUGACUAUUCCAAUAGCUAUGUAGCUCUUAAUAUCUCCAGAAUCCAUCUGUCUGACUCAGCAGUUUAUUACUGUGCAUUGCGUGACACAGUGGUCAACAUUCCUGCAAACAUUAUACAUUAACCCAGUCAUCAUUUACAGAAAUGUUAAGCAAGCACUUAAACUCCCUGCUAAAUCAAAUAAUUCAUUUUAAAGGACAUCAUGCACUUUCUAUUAUUUGGAAACUAUUCAGUUGGGCAGUCUAUACUUCUUUCUAUUACUUAUUUGUUUUUUCUGCCAGAGUUUGAAGCUCAGCUGUCCUGAGCCUUCGGUCCCACUGCUGCUGGCAGCCCAGCCACAAUGUUAAAUAUCCUACUUCUGUUUUAGUGUUUCACCUACAUUAAAUACAAUUUUUAAAAAAAUCCUGCUGCUUUAAGACAUUUUAGCAUUACAUCUACUGCUUGGAGCGAGACAAUGAAAUGGAACAAAUGCAAGCAGGGCAUUUUACAGCCACAGCUUUACACUCAAAUGGAAUAUUUGCAGGCAGGUAUGAGCAACAACAC